GUCGGAUUCGGGAUGAAGUGAUUGACCACACCUCCCAUGACGGCGAACGUGCGCUUGCCCUCGGUCAGCAUCUGCACGCCGCGGCGCUUGAACUCCUU
rnacentral:sRNA from 1 species